GCGGGCGUAGUUCAGUGGUAGAACACUAGCUUCCCAAGCUAGAUACGCGUGUUCGAUUCACGUCGCCCGCA
rnacentral:tRNA from 1 species